rnacentral:pre_miRNA from 13 species
CUUUUUAGGGAUAAACGUUAAUGUUUUAGACGAGUCUCCUAAAUUUUAGGGACUAAUGUCAUUUUUAACGUGUCUCCUAUUUUUAGGGACC